GACGAACGCUGGCGGCGUGCUUAACACAUGCAAGUCGAACGGAAAGGCCCUGCUUGCAGGGUACUCGAGUGGCGAACGGGUGAGUAACACGUGGGUGAUCUGCCCUGCACUUCGGGAUAAGCCUGGGAAACUGGGUCUAAUACCGGAUAGGAGCCAUUUUUAGUGUGAUGGUUGGAAAGUUUUUUCGGUGUAGGAUGAGCUCGCGGCCUAUCGGCUUGUUGGUGGGGUAAUGGCCUACCAAGGCGGCGACGGGUAGCCGGCCUGUGAGGGUGGACGGCCACAUUGGGACUGAGGUACGGCCCAGACUCCUACGGGAGGCAGCAGUGGGGAAUAUUGCACAAUGGGCGCAAGCCUGAUGCAGCGACGCCGCGUGGGGGAUGACGGCCUUCGGGUUGUAAACUCCUUUCGCUAGGGACGAAGCUUUUUGUGACGGUACCUAGAUAAGAAGCACCGGCUAACUACGUG
rnacentral:rRNA from 1 species